GAGUUUGAUCCUGGCUCAGAUUGAACGCUGGCGGCAGGCCUAACACAUGCAAGUCGAGCGGCAGCACGGGUACUUGUACCUGGUGGCGAGCGGCGGACGGGUGAGUAAUGCCUAGGAAUCUGCCUGGUAGUGGGGGAUAACGCUCGGAAACGGACGCUAAUACCGCAUACGUCCUACGGGAGAAAGCAGGGGACCUUCGGGCCUUGCGCUAUCAGAUGAGCCUAGGUCGGAUUAGCUAGUUGGUGGGGUAAUGGCUCACCAAGGCGACGAUCCGUAACUGGUCUGAGAGGAUGAUCAGUCACACUGGAACUGAGACACGGUCCAGACUCCUACGGGAGGCAGCAGUGGGGAAUAUUGGACAAUGGGCGAAAGCCUGAUCCAGCCAUGCCGCGUGUGUGAAGAAGGUCUUCGGAUUGUAAAGCACUUUAAGUUGGGAGGAAGG
rnacentral:rRNA from 1 species